GGGAAUAUAGCUCAAUGGCAGAGCAUUUUCCACGUAGAAGGCCCUGGGUUUGAUCCCAGUAUCACUA
rnacentral:tRNA from 1 species